AUGAGGCGCCACGACUCGGACUCGAACGGCCUCUUCUCCUCCGGAGACAAUUCGGACCGAGAGUGUGAGGGCACCUUGAAGGGCCGGUUUUCCGAGAUCCAGUGGGGCCUGACGACCAGAUACUCUGAGGGAUACGGCACAGAGGAGGAGUGUGUUCAGUCAGAUCCCCAAGGGGAGAGUGAUGCAGAUGCCGACAUUGAGGACACAGAUUGCAGAUUUCCAGAAGCAGGUUCGCUGCAACGAAUCAGUUCUCGAAGACGUCGCAGACCCCGGGUAGCACGGCAGGACACGACGGAGAGCGAAGAUGACGGUGGGCGAAGUCAUAGAGUUCAUCGUUGGAACCUUCGACUCAGUCCUCACCGGACACACAACAGGACAAUCCUGGAGGAAAGUGUUUCCCAGGUCCGGCCCCUGGUUUUGUGCCGGCCCUGUGUUGAGCCACCGCAGACGGGUGCUGCUGAAGAGCCCAAAAGCGGCAUGUGUUGUCAGGCAGACGAUGACUGGUUACGUCCUUAUAUGCGGCCACUCAUUCCCCCAGUCGGCAGGCAAGCAGUCUUGCAGGGAACCCUUGAAGAUCCUCCUGAGGUAAGGUGCUCAAGGGACAUAUAGUGCCAUAUUAUAAGUCCACAUUUCCUUCUGACUGGAGAGAAGUCCUUCGCAAAGGAUUUCCAAAUUCUCACUUAAAUGUGGCUCCUUCUUAUGUAGAUAGAGUGCUCAUGCUAGGCCAAUUUAUCACACCUGUCUGGUUUAUGCCUGGUGUGGCUCUAGACCAUUGCUGUGGGAUGAGGGUGUCGAUGGACCUGGACUAGAGUCCCUCAUUCUGCAGCUUUUUUUGUUACUGGUGCAUCUCCAGCCCCCAUGGUGGGGUCUUGGGAUAAUUGGUAGGCGGUACAGUCUGUCCAGCCUCCCAGCCUGUCCUGCUGUAUUGCUUUAAGGAGACCUAAUUCCACAUGUAGGCUUUGCUUCUAGGGGGAAUGGUUUGUAUUUAACAUCUUAACCAUAUGGCAGUUUGGGCCUGACUGAAAUAAAACUUGGUUACAGUUUUGGAACA
rnacentral:lncRNA from 1 species